GAGGAAUAUUGGUCAAUGGGCGAGAGCCUGAACCAGCCAAGUAGCGUGAGUGAUGAAGGCCUUCGGGUUGUAAAGCUCUGUCUUCAGGGACGAUAAUGACGGUACCUGAGGAGGAAGCCACGGCUAACUACGUGCCAGCAGCCGCGGUAAUACGUAGGUGGCAAGCGUCGUCCGGAUUUACUGGGCGUAAAGGGAGCGUAGGCGGAUACUUAAGUGGGAUGUGAAAUACCUGGGCUUAACUUGGGUGCUGCAUUCCAAACUGGGUGUCUAGAGUGUUGGAGAGGAAAGUGGAAUUCCUAGUGUAGCGGUGAAAUGCGUAGAGAUUAGGAAGAACACCAGUGGCGAAGGCGACUUUCUGGACAAUAACUGACGCUGAGGCUCGAAAGCGUGGGGAGCAAAC
rnacentral:rRNA from 1 species